rnacentral:rRNA from 1 species
GAUGAACGCUGGCGGCGUGCCUAAUACAUGCAAGUCGAGCGAACGGACGAGAAGCUUGCUUCUCUGAUGUUAGCGGCGGACGGGUGAGUAACACGUGGAUAACCUACCUAUAAGACUGGGAUAACUUCGGGAAACCGGAGCUAAUACCGGAUAAUAUUUUGAACCGCAUGGUUCAAAAGUGAAAGACGGUCUUGCUGUCACUUAUAGAUGGAUCCGCGCUGCAUUAGCUAGUUGGUAAGGUAACGGCUUACCAAGGCAACGAUGCAUAGCCGACCUGAGAGGGUGAUCGGCCACACUGGAACUGAGACACAGUCCAGACUCCUACGGGAGGCAGCAGUAGGGAAUCUUCCGCAAUGGGCGAAAGCCUGACGGAGCAACGCCGCGUGAGUGAUGAAGGUCUUCGGAUCGUAAAACUCUGUUAUUAGGGAAGAACAUAUGUGUAAGUAACUGUGCACAUCUUGACGGUACCUAAUCAGAAAGCCACGGCUAACUACGU